rnacentral:rRNA from 1 species
UGGGGAAUUUUGGACAAUGGGGGAAACCCUGAUCCAGCCAUCCCGCGUGUGCGAUGAAGGCCUUCGGGUUGUAAGGCACUUUUGGCAGGAAAGAAACGUCAUGGGUUAAUACCCCGUGAAACUGACGGUACCUGCAGAAUAAGCACCGGCUAACUACGUGCCAGCAGCCUCGGUAAUACGUAGGGUGCAAGCGUUAAUCGGAAUUACUGGGCGUAAAGCGUGCGCAGGCGGUUCGGAAAGAAAGAUGUGAAAUCCCAGAGCUCAACUUUGGAACUGCAUUUUUAACUACCGGGCUAGAGUGUGUCAGAGGGAGGUGGAAUUCCGCGUGUAGCAGUGAAAUGCGUAGAUAUGCGGAGGAACACCGAUGGCGAAGGCAGCCUCCUGGGAUAACACUGACGCUCAUGCACGAAAGCGUGGGGAGCAAACAGG